rnacentral:rRNA from 1 species
CAAUAGCGUAUAUUAAAGUUGUUGCAGUUAAAAAGCUCGUAGUUGGAUUUCUGGAUGGAGCGACCGGUCGGGCAUUAAUUUGUCUGCACUGGAGUCGGUUCCGUCCAUCCUCUUGGAGAGUGCGUGGGGCAUUAAGUUGUCUGGCGUAUGAUCCAAGUCGUUUACUGUGAAAAAAUUAGAGUGUUUAAAGCAGGCCUUCGCCUUGAAUACAUUAGCAUGGAAUAAUAAGAUAGGACUUUGGUCUAUUUUGUUGGUUUGCAGACCGAAGUAAUGAUUAAUAGGGAUAGUUGGGGGUAUUUAUAUUCCGAUGUCAGAGGUGAAAUUCUUAGAUUUUCGGAAGAUAAACUUAUGCGAAAGCAUUUACCAAGGAUGUUUUCAUUAA